UUGGUUGCUCAGUGGUUAGAGCAUCAGCCUGCAGACUGAAGAGUCUUGGGUUCGAUUCCCAGUCAA
rnacentral:tRNA from 1 species